rnacentral:rRNA from 1 species
GACGAACGCUGGCGGCGUGCCUAAUACAUGCAAGUAGAACGCUGAAGGAGGAGCUUGCUUCUCUGGAUGAGUUGCGAACGGGUGAGUAACGCGUAGGUAACCUGCCUGGUAGCGGGGGAUAACUAUUGGAAACGAUAGCUAAUACCGCAUAAUAGCAGUUAUUGCAUGAUAACUGUUUGAAAGGUGCAAUUGCACCACUACCAGAUGGACCUGCGUUGUAUUAGCUAGUUGGUGGGGUAACGGCUCACCAAGGCGACGAUACAUAGCCGACCGGAGAGGGUGAUCGGCCACACUGGGACUGAGACACGGCCCAGACGCCUACGGGAGGCAGCAGUAGGGAAUCUUCGGCAAUGGACGGAAGUCUGACCGAGCAACGCCGCGUGAGGGAAGAAGGGUUUCGGAUCGUAAAGCUCGGUUGUAAGAGAAGAACGAGGGUGAGAGUGGAAAGUUCACACUGUGACGGUAUCUUACCAGAAAGGGACGGCUAACUACGUG